CCUACGGGGCGCAGCAGUGGGGAAUAUUGCGCAAUGGGGGCAACCCUGACGCAGCAACGCCGCGUGAUUGAAGAAGGCCUUCGGGUUGUAAAGAUCUUUAAACAGGGACGAAGAAAUGACGGUACCUGAAGAAUAAGCUCCGGCUAACUACGUGCCAGCAGCCGCGGUAAUACGUAGGGAGCAAGCGUUAUCCGGAUUUACUGGGUGUAAAGGGCGUGUAGGCGGGCCUGUAAGUCAGAAGUGAAAUCUGGGGGCUUAACCCCCAAACUGCUUUUGAAACUGCGGGUCUUGAGUGAUGGAGAGGG
rnacentral:rRNA from 1 species